rnacentral:rRNA from 1 species
UACAGAGGCCUCGAGCGUUAGGCGGAAUCACUGGGCUUAAAGCGUGUGUAGGCGGACUUCUAAGUACCUUGUGAAAUCCCACGGCUUACCCGUGGAACUGCUCGGUAUACUGGUUGUCUUGAGCCACCUAGGGGCGAGUGGAACAAAUGGUGGAGCGGUGAAAUGCGUAGAUAUCAUUUGGAACGCCAAUGGUGAAAACAACUCGCUGGGGGUGUGCUGACGCUGAGGAGCGAAAGCGUGGGGAGCGAACAGG